rnacentral:rRNA from 1 species
AUGGUGCACCUACGGCAGUCUCCCUCGCCGCCUGACACCGCAACAAAGUCGGCGGCGAGUGCGGUGGACGGAAGCAGUGGGGUGGACCUCACUUGUGUGGGCUGCACACUGGGGCUAGACCCCACCAGCGUCCGCCUCAACGGCUACUUCGUCAUUCGCGACCCAGGGCACGUCUCCACAACGCUCACCUGGGGUGCGCUCCUUGCCAUUUUGCCGCCUACAGGCUACCCACCACAAGCGUUGACCCCGCCACGCCCGUCAACGUCUGUGGUAGGCUCACGCCUUCGCCACCACGCUCAGUUUGAUUAUAUCCAAUUCACAAACUGUUUGGAUAUUGGUACUUUAAAUCUUCAAAACCCCACCCACGCCACCCGUCUCGCAUCCCCGGCGAGCGCAGCUCAAAGAUCGCCGACCUCCCUCGUCGUGCUGACUAUCUCCGCCACCAUCCUACUCCUCCUCAAACUCUGUGACGUCUACAACUGCAUCAGUGUAGCCCCCAUCGCCAUCCCCGUUCCCCGCCGGACCCUGCCCCGUCACCAUUCGUCCCACUGCGCUGGUGCACCAUUUUGGCUCGGCAAAGAGGCUGCACGCGUAUCCCAACUGUCGCCCCCCGGUGACACAAAAUGCAUCUCCAUGUUGGCUGCAAUCUUAGUUUGUUUCCAUUUCCAGUGUUCUAUGACUCCACUUUGA